CAACCUGCCGUCUACUCUUGGACAGCCUUCUGAAAGGAAGAUUAAUACAAGAUGGCAUCAUGAGUCCGCAUGUUCACAUGAUUAAAGGUAUUCCGAUAGACGAUGGGGAUGCGUUCCAUUAGAUAGUAGGCGGGGUAACGGCCCACCUAGUCUUCGAUGGAUAGGGGUUCUGAGAGGAAGGUCCCCCACAUUGGAACUGAGACACGGUCCAAACUCCUACGGGAGGCAGCAGUGAGGAAUAUUGGUCAAUGGGCGAGAGCCUGAACCAGCCAAGUAGCGUGAAGGAUGACUGCCCUAUGGGUUGUAAACUUCUUUUAUAAAGGAAUAAAGUCGGGUAUGUAUACCCGUUUGCAUGUACUUUAUGAAUAAGGAUCGGCUAACUCCGUGCCAGCAGCCGCGGUAAUACGGAGGAUCCGAGCGUUAUCCGGAUUUAUUGGGUUUAAAGGGAGCGUAGAUGGAUGUUUAAGUCAGUUGUGAAGGUUUGCGGCUCAACCGUAAAAUUGCAGUUGAUACUGGAUAUCUUGAGUGCAGUUGAGGCAGGCGGAAUUCGUGGUGUAGCGGUGAAAUGCUUAGAUAUCACGAAGAACUCCGAUUG
rnacentral:rRNA from 1 species